rnacentral:rRNA from 1 species
UACGUAGGGUGCGAGCGUUAAUCGGAAUUACUGGGCGUAAAGCGUGCGCAGGCGGUUUUGUAAGCCAGAUGUGAAAUCCCCGGGCUUAACCUGGGAAUGGCAUUUGGGACUGCAAGGCUCGAGUGCGGCAGAGGAGACUGGAAUUCCUGGUGUAGCAGUGAAAUGCGUAGAUAUCAGGAGGAAUACCGACGGCGAAGGCAGGUCUCUGGGCUGACACUGACGCUCAUGCACGAAAGCGUGGGGAGCAAACAGG